rnacentral:misc_RNA from 1 species
GAUGAAGAACGUAGCGAAAUGCGAUACGUAAUGUGAAUUGCAGAAUUCAGUGAAUCAUCGAAUCUUUGAACGCAUAUUGCGCUCUUUGGUAUUCCGAAGAGCAUGCUUGUUUGAGUAUCAGUAAACACCUCAAAGACUUCAAUUUGUUUUGAAUGGCUUUGGACUUGAGCAAUCCCAACACCAGUCUUUACGAUCGGUGGAGGGUUGCUUGAAAUGCAGGUGCAGCUGGACAUUCUCCUGAUCUAAAAGCAUAUUUAUUUAGUCCCGUCAAACGGAUUAUUACUUUUGCUGCAGCUAACAUAAAGGGAGUUUGACCGUAUUGGCUGACUGAUGCAGGAUUUCACAAGGGUCGGCAACGAUUCUUGUAAAACUCGAUCUCAAAUCAAGUAAGACUACCCGCUGAACUUAAGCAUAUCAAUAAGCGGAGGA